CCUACGGGUGGCAGCAGUGGGGAAUAUUGCACAAUGGGGGAAACCCUGAUGCAGCAACGCCGCGUGAGUGAGGAAGUAUUUCGGUAUGUAAAGCUCUUUCAGCAGGGAAGAGAAAAGAAGGUACCUGAAAAAGAAGCCCCGGCUAACUACGUGCCAGCAGCCGCGGUAAUACGUAGGGGGCAAGCGUUAUCCGGAUUUACUGGGUGUAAAGGGAGCGUAGACGGAAAGGAAAGGCAGAAGGGAAAGCCCAAGGCUCAACCAUGGGACUGCUGUUGAAACUGGCAAACUAGAGUACGGGAGAGGUAAGAGGAAGUCGUGGUGUAGCGGUGAAAUGCGUAGAUAUUAGGAGGAACACCAGUGGCGAAGGCGUCUUACUGGACCGAAACUGACGGUGAGGCUCGAAAGCGUGGGGAGCAAACAGGAUUAGAUACCCUAGUAGUC
rnacentral:rRNA from 1 species